rnacentral:snRNA from 1 species
CGGUGUUUGCUUUGGCAGCGCUCUACUAAAGUUGGAACAAUACAGAGAAGAUUAGCACGGCCCUGCACAAGGAUGACAGGCAAAUUCGUCAGGCGUUCUAUAUUCUC